UUCCCUGUGGCUCAUUUGGUAGAGCAUGGUGUGUGCAACGCCAGGGUUGUGGGUUCAAUUCCCACGGGGGGUG
rnacentral:tRNA from 1 species